CCCCUUGCUUGCGAGUUACUUGGUAAUUAGGAUGUGUAGGGUAGCUUCAGAAACCCUAGGUGGUGAAGAUGAAGAGGAAAGCGACGCUGAUGAUGAAACUGAGGGUUUUCAUAAAUCGAAUUUGUGAUUCACCAGAGUAUCUAUGAGGUCGCAUGCAUGUGGAGAUCAAUUGGAACAACCGUGUGCGUUCCGGAAAUAUAAGAGCUCAUCAUCACCUCCUUUUUAACUACAAGCUUCAUCAUGUCAAAAAUACAAGUGCAGACAAGCUUACUCCUUGGACAUGCGGCGCCCCAGUAGAAAACCAAAGGUUUUUCUUUUUGUCCCAAUCAAGUUGGUGUUGUUAGAGGCUGGCUUCCAAUAUGUUGGGACUGCUAAGAGUAUUUGUCCUUAAUUAUAUUGAAAAGUUAAGGGAUACAGUAUGAGUAUAAGGAGUUGGGCUACUACUCCUCAUUACUAAUUGGUUUUAGAGUGGAACCUCAACUCAACUUCCUUCAUGGUAUCAGAGCAAAAACGAUAAUCAACCCCUUUUUUGUCAAUAAAUUCUAUGAGUGUAAUUCGACAUUAUACUAAUUUUCAUAUGUCAUGACAAAUUUGGAUUAAUAUAUGACUAAGUUGGCAGAAGAGGGAUGCCUAUUUGUCUUGUUAAAGUAAUCUUAA